rnacentral:rRNA from 1 species
UACGUAGAGUGCAAGCGUUGUCCGGAAUUAUUGGGCGUAAAGAGCUCGUAGGCGGUCUGUCGCGUCUGCUGUGAAAACUCAGGGCUUAACCCUGAGCUUGCAGUGGGUACGGGCAGACUAGAGUGCGGUAGGGGAGACUGGAAUUCCUGGUGUAGCGGUGAAAUGCGCAGAUAUCAGGAGGAACACCGGUGGCGAAGGCGGGUCUCUGGGCCGUAACUGACGCUGAGGAGCGAAAGCAUGGGGAGCGAACAGG